ensembl:lncRNA
GUUGAAGAGAAAUAGGGGGCGAGAGACCGAAGAGAGAGAAUUUACUUCAGGAGGAAACUCUCCUCUGGGGGCCACUGCGAAACGAAAUCUGACAUUGGAAUUGUACGGAGAAAACAGAUGAGCAGUAUACAAAAAAGCAGAAUGGCUUGGAGCGGAUGCCUAGAAGAAAGGCUUGCAGUGAUCUUAAACUUUCCUCAAUCCAUUGGGAGUUGCUGCGAUGAAAGAGAUGCAACUGAAAAACUAAAUUGGAGAAGGAAGAAAAAGGGGAUAAAUAUUUUAGUAUAUACAAAAAUAAAUAUUUAUAAAAUCAUGUUUGAAUGUUAG